rnacentral:tRNA from 1 species
GCCUCCAUAGCUCAACUGGAUAGAGCAGCGGUCUUCUACACCGUAGGUUCCGGGUUCAAAUCCUGGUGGGGGCG